rnacentral:piRNA from 1 species
UACGAUCCAAGAUGGAAUGGGUAACCCCCA